rnacentral:rRNA from 1 species
AAGGGCACCACAAGAACGCGUGGAGCAUGUGGCUUAAUUUGACUCAACGCGGGAAAUCUUACCGGGUCCGGACACACUGAGGAUUGACAGACAAAUACACACUUUUACGGUGUGUGCAUGAAAUAUGCUAGUUCUUUCAUGAUUAUGUGAUAGGUGGUGCAUGGCCGUUCUUAGUUCGUGGAGUGAUCUGUCUGCUUAAUUGCGUUUCACUAAAGGCACAUACACAUAAUAUUGAUGUGUUGUGUAUAAUUUCAUAAUUAUACGCAUACACACAUAUUAUAUUGUGCUUUGAAAGCAACGAACGUGACCGCAACCUCUUGUUGCCUGUAUAUAUGUGUAUUUUAUACACACCACAGGCUAUUAUAAACUAGAGGGACCGCUGUUACUUUCUUUUAAACCAGAGGAAGGUUGCGGCAAUAACAGGUCUGUGAUGCCCUUAGAUGUUCCGGGCUGCACACGUGCUACAAUGAUCAUUGCAGUGCGCAUCUCAUUUUGUUAUACACUGCUUGUGCGUAUGUGCAUCACAAUAUUUAUAUAUGUGUGUGUAUGUAUUGCACGCAGUAAAGCCUACUUCGAAAGUUGUGGGUAAUCAAUUUGAAGUAAUGAUUUCUCCAAAUAUAUACUGCACACUCAUAUACAGUGUCUUAUGUCCAUGAAAAUUUUAUUAUUUUUGUGUGUGCAUUCGAUGCUCGUAUGUGCAAUUGUCAAUUCAUGGUGGGGACAGACCAUUGUUAAUUGUUGGUCUCGGUCUUAACUAGGAAUGCCUUGUACGGGUCUUUGGUUCAACAAACCACCCGGAAUACGUCCCUGCCCUUUGUACACACCGCCCGUCGCUCUUACCGAUGGACUUCUCUGUGAGUUUGAGGGACUGGAUUUUAUAUCUAUGGAAACUCAAACGAACAGUGUGGUCUAAAGGAAAGAGAAGUCGUAACAAGGCAUCCGUAGGUGAACCU